GUUCUGCUGAUGACUUGUUGUCUUGUGUGGAGCAGCUGAGUUCAUAUCUCCACCCUCAGUAUGACGGGAACACUCUACCUUCUGCUGCUCUCUCUCUGUCUGACCUGUUUAAAUAGUCAAACUAUGGAAUCCAUUCCCUCCAGUCCACUCCAGAAAAAGCCAGGAGAAACUCUCAACCUCUCUUGCAGAGGAACUGGGUAUACCUUUACAAGCUAUGGUAUGAACUGGAUUCGCCAACCUACAGGGAAACCAUUGGAAUGGAUGGGCUGGAUCAACACCAAUACUGGAGCAGCAGGCUAUGCCAAAUCCCUGGAGGGACGGAUUGAACUGACCAAAGACAGCUCAGUGAGCAUGACACAUCUGAAACUGUCUGGUCUGAAGGCAGAGGACUCUGCUGUGUAUUACUGUGCACGCAGGACACAGUGAUGUGAAUGUGUGGUGGAUCUGUACAAAAACCCAUCAGACAUGGAUAGAUACAGGCUGUGAAACAUGUACACACGGUUGUUCUCCCCUGACACACUUCACUAACCCUCCUCUGCAAACAGCUGGGGUAAACAACCAUAUGCUUUAAUAUGAGAUGUCCUUAUAUCAGAAACACUGUCUAUGCUUCAUGAAUAGGGCCUUGAGUUUUUCUUGAUAUUCUUUUUAGGAGGGUUAGAAAAAUAAGACAAUAAACAUG